rnacentral:tRNA from 1 species
GGGGCCGUGCCUGAAAUUUAAAGGACCACUUUGAUAGAGUGAACAAUGGGGGUUAAAGUCCCCCCGACUCCU